GAUGAACGCUGGCGGCGUGCCUAAUACAUGCAAGUCGAGCGAACGGACGAUAAGCUUGCUUCUCUGAUGUUAGCGGCGGACGGGUGCGUAAAACGUGGAUAACCUACCUAUAAGACUGGGAUAAGUUCGGGUAAACGGAGCUAAUACCGGAUGAUACUUUGUACGGCAUGGUUCAAAAGUGAAAGAGGGUCUUGAUGUCAUUAUUAGCUGGAUCCGCACUGCAUAAACUAGUUGGCAAGGUAACUGCUCACCAAGGCAACGUUGCAUAGCCGACCUGAGAGGGUGAUCGGCCACACUGGAACUAAGACACGGUCCAGACUACUACGGGAGGCAGCAUUAGGGAAUCUUCCGCAAUGGGCGCAAGCCUGACGGAGCAACGCCGCGUGAGUGAUGAAGGUCUUCGGAUCGUAAAACUCCGUUAUUAGGGAAGAACAUAUGUGUAAGUAACUGUGCACAUCGUGACGGUACCUAAUCAGAAAGCCACGGCUAACUACGUG
rnacentral:rRNA from 1 species